rnacentral:lncRNA from 1 species
CAAAGGCCCGGUUCUUUUAGACCGGAUGGGGGGAGAGGCCUUGCAACGUCCUAAUGUGCCCCCACGGCCAUGUCGGGAACAGGAGGAGAACCUCGUCCUGACAUGAGCAAAGUCGAAGGUCCGGUUCUUUUAGACCGGAUGGGGGAGAGACCCUGGUGAUGGUCCUUAUGAGCCCCGCAUCUCCGUUGGGAACAGGAGGAGAACCUCGUCCUGACGAUGACGAAACCCGGCCGCCCAACAAGAUCGAAUGAAGGGGAAAGGCCCCUUAGCGGCACCUCCAUACUUCUAUGCAACCCCGCAAAAGGCAGGGGGAGGGUCCUCACUCUGAGAAGAGGAGGAAAAUUAAAAAGGAAGAGCAACGAACUACGACGGAAACAGAUGAAGGACAAACCACACCAAAGACCUAAAGAACCUCGUCUCAAUAAAGACGGGGAGCUCCUACCAAACACCCCCGGUCUCUGAGAAAACUCUCGACACAGGUCAAGAAGACAGCGACGGCCUCGAGGUAAUGCAGAGUUCGGACCGUCAAGCUCGAGCUCGCGGCCAUGAACGACGAGGAAGGCAAGUCAACGUAUCAACGACUGGACGCCUCCCAACGACGUCAACAUCAGACAGGUCGGACGGCAAGAAAAGUUCGGCGGACGACAAUUUAAUACAACGCACGAACGAGGUAACACGAAAUCUCCUUUUCAUUCCAUUUCCAAAAUACACACUACAAAGCCCGGAAGGCCAAGGAAAGAAAAGCAAAACGAUAAAAGCGGGACGAAACAACAAAAGGAAAAAUAUAUACAUGAAAGGACAGAAGGACGAAAAGAGUCCUAGGGAAGCUCUGCUCCCUCCGACCUAGAAUUAUCUGCUCCACCCCUCAUCCAAGACUGCCUGAAAUUCUCAAUUUCUUCUUCUAGCUCUCUUCUUCUCUGCAGCGCGCCUUGGAGCACCCGACGAAGUCGUUGGCUCUCGAUCUCCGCCUCUCGACGCCUCUUUCUCAAGACCUCAGAUUCCGCCUCCGCGUCCGCGACAGCCCGCUGCUCGUACGCCAGCUGGAUCUUCAGUUGUUGCAGCUCAGCCGUCUUGUCCCCGAGGGCAACGGAAAUCCCUUCAACGGUUCCUCUUAGGGACUGGAGCUCAUCAGAAUCCCGAGCGGAAGUAAGCUGAGCCCUGUCGGCCAGCUGCCUCUGAAGACGGGCGACUUCGUCGGUCGCCACCCUGAGUCUCCCUUUGUAUUCGUCCACCUGCCUGCGCCAACCGGUCCGGUGCACGUCGUAGCUCACCUCGGCGUCCUGAAGCUGCUGCUGAAGGGCGGAGACCUUCGACCAUUCUCGGUCGCUGUCAGCCCGGGCCAAGAGCCGGGAUGAACUUCCUUCCAG